GGGGGCAUCUGUAGGAGCACCAAAAAAACUCAGGACACUCCCACUCCAACCAAGAAAACUAUGAUUCCAACAGCAUUUUCCCAGGCUCAGCAGCUUGCUGAAAAGGAAAAUGUGACGCUACACAACGUGGAAACUUCUCCCAUAGCUUUGUGAGAGAGACAGGCAGCUUGAUAGGGGUUGCUACAUGACUAUUAUAUGUACUACAUGUACUACACAUUAUAUCAUUAAUGACAACAAUGUCUGAUAACAGUCAAAUAACUCUGUGUUAAAUACAAAAGAUGCCAAAGGUUCAUCAGCCAGUAGGAUUGAGAAGGAGUAGUUUUCAAAUAAUGAUGUUCACACAUAUCUAUACAUAUUAUGUAUUUUCCAAUAACUGAAUAUGGCUUAAGUUUGACAUGAUUCACAUGUAUGCAAUGCCUCACUGACUUAAACAAAUUAGAAGCAAGUUUGAGUUUCUGCAUACUGUGUGAUACCAGCUAAGAAAUGUAAAUGGUUGUUUAUAUAUACAUUUAUCAACAAGUCUUGAGUCGCCUGUGUUUUGGGGUCAUGUCAGGAUAGUCGAAGGAAGUCAUGAACAGAUAUGUGGGACUGUCCUGUAUUGACCUUGAUGAAAUGGUGUUUCUACAAGUCACACCUUGGUAUUAUGUACUUUGGAAGCACUACAUUUUCGUUAUUUUGGAAAAAUUUAUUCUGUUUUGAAAUGAGUGCUUGCCUCAGAGUAGCACACCAAUAACCACCUACAUGUACAAAGGUCUAUCUGCACAAUUUGAUAGCAAAAAAGUAAAAAUUAAUCUCCCUUCCCAAAACUGUCAUCAUCUGCAACUAAAACACUGGCAUAAGACUACUGAAAUCUGUCCAUUUGUAAGAACAUUACUUGAAUCAGGAGCUGGAUUGUUUCGUGUGAUAUCUUGAUUUGGCAGCUGAACCUGAUUUAAAGGAUUCCUUGUGCAAUAAGUGAACAUUUAUUACAUGACAUGAUCUUGAGGCUAAAGCCUUCUAUUUUUUUCCAUCAUCAAUAGCAUAAUUUAACAAAAUUUUAGUUUCAGUCAGUUGAUAGAGUAUUUCUCUAAUCUCUACAAAUGAACCUCAGAGUCAGACACACUCAAAUAUAUGGUGAGCUUAGUCUACGUUUGAAUUAGGGAAACUCAACUUUUGUUUUCAUCUCAAUUUUUUUUUUCCAUUGCUUGCAGCCUAGUAUUAGGAAAAGCUUUAGCGGGAAAAUGAAAAUUGCUGUUAGGUUGAUAGAAUUUGUAGUAUAUUUCUUGUGGUCAUCGUACGCUUUUGGAAUAUCCAAACAUGCAUUCCACUGCACACAUUCAUGUACAUUCACAUGAUAUUUAGGUUGCAACAUUCUACUGUAAUUGUAGAAAUAUAUGCCAAUAGUCAUAGAAUUUGAUUUGAUAGCCUUUGGUGGCAGGAACUCUUACUAUAACUUACUGUGUUGAUCUGAUGAUACUCAAACAUCACAGAAAUGUGAGCAUGGUUUUAAUGAUUAGUUUAUAGUAACAUUUAACCCAGCAGUGUAUAUUCUGCAACUCAUUUGUAAAAUUAUUACUUUGUAUUAUGUACUUAUCAUUAUUAUUGUUAUUAAUUCCUUACUUGUACAUUUGUAUCAUAUUAACCAUUUUUGUAAUAUUUAAAUUCCAAUACCAUUAUUGUUUAACCUGAUUUGAUGUACAAUGUAUUAUGCUAUUACUGCUUGUGUCCUUGUUACACUGAUGUUUUCAAGCAGUGUAACAAACCUCUAUCUAUGU